UACGUAGGGCGCAAGCGUUAUCCGGAAUUAUUGGGCGUAAAGAGCUCGUAGGCGGUUUGUCGCGUCUGCCGUGAAAGUCCGGGGCUCAACUCCGGAUCUGCGGUGGGUACGGGCAGACUAGAGUGAUGUAGGGGAGACUGGAAUUCCUGGUGUAGCGGUGAAAUGCGCAGAUAUCAGGAGGAACACCCGUGGCGAAGGCGGUUCUCUGGGACGGUACUGACGCUGAGACGCGAAAGCGUGGGGAGCAAACAGG
rnacentral:rRNA from 1 species